GCCAGACUCCUACGGGAGGCAGCAGUGGGGGAUAUUGCACAAUGGGGGAAACCCUGAUGCAGCGACGCCGCGUGGGUGAAGAAGUAUUUCGGUAUGUAAAGCCCUAUCAGCAGGGAAGAAAGAAGACGGUACCUGACUAAGAAGCCCCGGCUAACUACGUGCCAGCAGCCGCGGUAAUACGUAGGGGGCGAGCGUUAUCCGGAUUCACUGGGUGUAAAGGGAGCGUAGACGGCCGUGCAAGCCAGGAGUGAAAGCCCGGGGCCCAACCCCGGGACUGCUCUUGGAACUGUGCGGCUGGAGUGCGGGAGGGGCAGGCGGAAUUCCUGGUGUAGCGGUGAAAUGCGUAGAUAUCAGGAGGAACACCGGCGGCGAAGGCGGCCUGCUGGACCGCGACUGACGUUGAGGCUCGAGAGCGUGGGGAGCAAACAGGAUUAGAUACCCCAGUAA
rnacentral:rRNA from 1 species